ensembl:misc_RNA
UUGACAGCACUGGAAAUUGAAGUUCCUUUUUUAUCUACGGAACAGGUACACCAUGUACAGAGGCAGCAUAAACCCAGGCUACUGAUGUGUCUUGGCUCUGUCCUGGGCUUAACAACCUGAAAGGAAGAGGGAAUAACCUGCUCCUCAUGGCCCUGUUAGGUUGUGUCGCUAUU